UAAUGGCAGGUCAGCAUACUGCCGUGAAUACGUUCCCGGGCCCUUGUACACACCGCCCGUCACACCAUGAGAGUUGGGGAUACCCGAAGCCUGUGAGCUAACUUUUAGAGGCAGCAGUCGAAGGUAGAAUCAAUGAUUGGGUGAAGUCGUAACAAGGUAUC
rnacentral:rRNA from 1 species